GUUGGAUUUACUGAGGCCUGUUGUUCUCAUAUUUGUAUGGAUUAUACCAGAUCUAAGUUGAUUACUGGAAAAGGAUACAAUAUAGCAAAACGUAUUAAAAUAAGAAUACUCACCACCUAGCCAAAGGCUGACUCACAUCAAGUCUGGAGAAGCUAGAGCUUUUGGAUACCUUUGAUAUAACUGAAUCAUUUUACACUCCUUGUGCUGUGAUUCUUCAAAAUGUGCCAAUCUCACACUUGUAUUUCCUCCUCACACCUGGAAUCAGCAUCUUCUCCAAG